GACGAACGCUGGCGGCGUGCCUAAUACAUGCAAGUCGAACGCAUUUUCUUUCACCGUAGCUUGCUACACCGAAAGAAAAUGAGUGGCGAACGGGUGAGUAACACGUGGGUAACCUGCCCAUCAGCGGGGGAUAACACUUGGAAACAGGUGCUAAUACCGCAUAAUUCCAUUUACUGCAUGGUAGAUGGGUGAAAGGCGCUUUUGCGUCACUGAUGGAUGGACCCGCGGUGCAUUAGCUAGUUGGUGGGGUAACGGCCUACCAAGGCUGCGAUGCAUAGCCGACCUGAGAGGGUGAUCGGCCACACUGGGACUGAGACACGGCCCAGACUCCUACGGGAGGCAGCAGUAGGGAAUCUUCGGCAAUGGACGCAAGUCUGACCGAGCAACGCCGCGUGAGUGAAGAAGGUUUUCGGAUCGUAAAACUCUGUUGUUAGAAAAGAACAAGGAUGAGAGUGGAAAGUUCAUCCCUUGACGGUAUCUAACCAGAAAGCCACGGCUAACUACGUG
rnacentral:rRNA from 1 species